GUGAGGAAUUUUCCGCAAUGGGCGAAAGCCUGACGGAGCAAUGCCGCGUGAAGGAUGAAGGCCUAUGGGUUGUAAACUUCUUUUCUCAGAAAAGAAUUAUGACGGUAUCUGAGGAAUAAGCAUCGGCUAACUCUGUGCCAGCAGCCGCGGUAAGACAGAGGAUGCAAGCGUUAUCCGGAAUGAUUGGGCGUAAAGCGUCUGUAGGUUGUUUAAAAAGUAUUCUGUCAAAGAUUAGGGCUUAACCCUAGAUAGGCAGAAUAAACUUUUAAGCUAGAGUUUGGUAGAGGCAGAGGGAAUUCCCGGUGGAGCGGUGAAAUGCUUAGAUAUGACAUAGAACACCUAUUGCGAAGGCAGCUUACUACGCAUAUAUUGACGCUGAGGCACGAAAGCGUGGGGAUCAAACAGGAUUAGAUACCCUAGUAGUCC
rnacentral:rRNA from 1 species